rnacentral:lncRNA from 1 species
UCAGCAUUAUCAAUCACAUACAAACAAGCAAAACGAUAAUUUAUGCCAAACAGACAACAUAUAGUAUCAAUAUCCCGAUCAUUCAAUCCAUAAUCAAUAAAACAGUAAAAUAUGCACACGAAACUAUAAAAUGAAAACAUCGAACCUCAUGCUGCAUUUAAAACUGUAAAACAGGCCAAAUAACAGUUAAUCGACAAACACACUAGACUCGGGCUCCAUUAGCGACCUUAAGCAAUUUCACACAUUCGUUGAUUCAUGAAAAACCGUUUUAUCAUUUAUUGGACUUUAAAACCGUGAUAGGAAAUAGAGUGAGGGGUCCUUACUCGUUUCGGGGUCCGAACACGGCUUCACAGUGCGCUUGCAGGCUGUCCCUACUUUUCCCUGAAUUUUCCUCGGGGAACUGAAACGCACUACUAGUACCUGCACGUUUUCCAAAAAAAACCCAAAUUAGGCCCAGGGCCUCAAUCGGCCCAAAUCGCAACUCCGGCACGGCGGCUCCGCCGUGCUCCGGCGACGGCGCCGCCAGUCGCCUCGGGUUGGCUGUUUUCGGCCGAAUUCGGCCACACUCGCAUCGGUCCCUGUGAGAAAACAACCCUAGGGCCCUCGGGGGGCCAAAAAAUCACGGAAAAACGGAGCUUACCGACGGCGGCGCUCUCGGGUGCGGCGGCUCUCCGGCGAGGUUCGUGUUUUGGUGAUUCGGCUCCGGUCAACCUGUAGAGAAAAGAAUGGUGAUCACGGUGAUAUAAAAAUUGCAUCAAACGGAGGCCGGGAAGGGCCUCAUCGGAGGCAAAAACCGAGAAGGGGCGCGGCGGCGCCGCUGGGCUUCGGCCGUGUAUUCCUGCCGUUUGGCCGGGAUUUUGGCUCCGAUUUGGCCACAGGAGGAAUCAGCGUGGAAAAACGAGUCGGGGGUACGAAAUUUACCUCGAUCGGCGGUCGGAAGUUCCUCCGGUGCGGCGGCGGGUGGCGGCGGCCGGCUUCUAGUUCGUCUUCUUCGGCGAGCGGCAGGCGGCUAGGGUUUGUGGUCUGGUGUGGGGGUUCUAUUUAUAACCCCUUGCCCUUUGAUCUCAGCCGUCCAUUUUGUUUUAAUCUGGGCCGUCCGUUUUUGAUUAAAUCUGAGCCGUCCGUGCGAUUAAAUCUGGACCGUCCGAUCGCCCGCUUGAUCUGGGCCGUCCGAUCGCGCCCACGCGGAUCGCCAACGUGGCCCUUUUUGGAACGACGUGGUAUUGCCACGUGGCAAGUCCUGGUUGGCCGGGACUGCUGACCGGGCCUACUGACGUGGCUGCUGACGUGGCUUUUUUUUAUUUUUUUUUUAUUUUUUUUAUUUUUAUUUUUAUUUUNNN